AGGCAGCAUUUAACCUUGACAACAAGAAGUAAAAAUGCUGUCAAUUAAUUAAUGUACGUGUUUUAUUGUAAAGGAAGAUUUCUGGAUAAGUUAUUUUUAGGGCUUGACUAUGGAAUUCUGAAGAGCCUUUUAAAUAGCAGCAGAUGUUUUUUCUGUCUAAGUGACCAGAUGUCUAUGUAGUUAGAACAGUGAAAGCAAUGAAUUUCUUUUCUUUGUCCAUUUUUUUUUUUUAUAUAAUAAUUCGACGAACACAGAGAAGAUGGUUGCCACGUGAGACUCAAAUUAUUAUUUUAGGCGAGCUGAUGGAGGCAGCUCUGUUCUAGGAGCAAAAACAGCAGCAUCUACAAAGCUUUGUGACAGGUUCAAUAAUACAGGAAUGUAAGGCAAACAAAUCAUAAUAAAGCAGGGGAAUUUCAUAAAACAGAACAUGGUCAAUAAAUUUGAUAAAAUUGGAUGAACAUCUAGUGUGAACUGUUUUCUUUUUUCUCAUACUUGGCUAGUAAAUAAAUUUUGUAUAGAGAAGACAUGUAGUAACUGUCAGCUUGUAAAUUAAAACAUGUUUAGCAGCAGUUAUCAACUGAUUCAAUCCUCCACCCAGGGUGUGCCUAGUCACCAAUUUCUUGUUCUCCACGACAGUUUAUUAUAGGCUGCCAGGUUAUGACAGUGUAUGAUCUAAUCAGCUAAGAAAAAGGCUAAUUCUUCCACAGAGACUUGUGUUAAUUGCAGUGCUGAAUGGACUUUUAGAUCACUGUAUCUUUCAAUAGUAAACUGCCAAUUAACAGUUGCAUUUUACUUUGCUGUCUGUCAGAUGUCAUCAAAACAUCAGAACAAAAAAAAAAUGACCGUAAUGAAUUGAAAAAAGCUCAUGUCUACAUGUAAGUUGAGAUUGGUGAUUACUGGCAAUACAGUUAUUUGAUUAUUUUUUUUUUACGGGCUUAUUUCAUUUACGUAUUGCCAUAAUAAUUAUUAUGAUUGACAGCAGUAUAAUGUGCAGCUGUUACAGGUAGGUUUUUAACUUUGAGGCUUUGCAUUAUUGCAAAGUGCAGUGCCACUAUUUUUUCCUUCAGUUCCAAGCUGAGAAUAUCUAAUUUCGUUAUGCUCAGUAUUACAUAAUAGUUUGAAUUAUUUUUCUUGAGUUAUUUAUUAGAUUAUGAGAAUUUAAGACUAGAAGACAACAUGAUUGUACAGCUGUACCUAUUUUUUCUUCUCUUUGUGUAGUUGGAAGGGAGAAUUUACAUGUAGCAUGCUGGGGAUGACCAUUCUAUUACCAACUUGGAUUUUUACUGCCUUUUUGUUUUGUAAGAAUACUGACCAUCUUAACUUCAAGCAAAAGCGGCAAAAUAAUGUUUCAACUGUAUGCUGUUUUUUGUUUUUUUUCAUUUUCAUUUCUCUUACAAUGUGACUACUCCGACCAACACUAGUUAAGCAAAUUCUUUGCAAAUUGACCACUGACAGUUUAGAAACUUGUGUUAAAAUAGUUACUAAUCAAAAUAAGCACAGAUCUGGGGCCUCUGUAAUGCACAGCUUGAUUUCUAACAUAAUUUGUCAGAAAACUAUUGUUAACAUCUCCAAUUUUCACUAAAUUUUGUUGGGCAGCCUUGGAAAGAGUAAGUCGCACCGUAAAAAGUGUUUCCAUUUUAACAGUAUUUGUGUAGUUUCAUUAACAGUUACAUGUACAUGUUACAGGCAUACCAGUUAGUACUAUUAUUGAGGUACCCAAUUCCACUUGGAAAUCUGCAUUUUCUCAAAGAAUAACUGGGAGCAAUGUUUUUAUUAUCUGCAUUACAAGGGGGUGAUUAAGUUAAAUAAGAGUAUUUCAAAGGAAGUAGAAUAAUCUAAUCUCAGUUAAAUAACAAAGCACAGUGAUGUAGAUAUAGCAGCCAGUAUGCAAGAUUUCAAUCUUAAUUUCACAGUACAUUAGCACUCAAAAUUAGGACUACAAAUUGUACUCAUUUUAUUUUUGUGCCGGCACAAAAAAGAAGUAUAGUGAACCUCAGAAUUACAUGUAGAUCUUUUAUUAUUUUUCAAAUCUUAAAGUGCAAAGGGCAUUCAGUGUGUUUGACAGUGAUUCAGCUGGUUCAGUUCCAUUGCUACAUCUGUGAUUCGUGGAUAGAACUUAUGCAUGAACGUGCAAGUGGCUGAAGUAAAAUUAUAACUCAGAUUGAAGUAGGUGCCAAUUAAUGAUAAUACUCUUGAUUUUCCUAAACCUUAUUGCAUUGCCUGCCUGACAAGUUUUGGAAUUUCACCUUGUCAAUACAACUUUCAUAGAACUGAAAACACGUUUCUGGUUCUCUCUCAAUAAAUAUUCUUUAAUUACUACAAAUAAAGAUAUUAGGGUUAUUUUAUCCAGGUAACAUAACUAAUGCACAUAACAGCCAGACUCUACUUUUCUGGUUCAGUUUGAACUUUCCUUGUGUCUUUCAAUGAUUAAACUGAGUUUUUCUGUGGGUACAAAUAAUGACAUGUAUUCACAGGAAACUGUUUUACAAGCUCGUACAAAUCAGUUUAGCGUAACUGUACAUGUUUAAUGAAAAUAGUAAUAACUGCUGUAAAUAAACCUAUCCUGUGUGUAGAUAGCGUGUAACUUAAUACAGUUACAGUGUAUUUUUCUAUCCAUAAAAGGUAAUAAUCGAACUAUUCUUUUAGUAGGAAGCACAAAAUCUGGGAAGAAUAAAGAAGCUGAAACUGUCGAA
rnacentral:lncRNA from 1 species